UAACGCGAAGAACCUUACCUGGGCUUGAACCGCUAUUGACCAACGGUAGAAAUGUCGUCUUCCCACAAGGGACAGUAGUAGAGGUGCUGCAUGGCUGUCGUCAGCUCGUGCCGUGAGGUGUUGGGUUAAGUCCCGCAACGAGCGCAACCCUUAUUCGUAGUUGCCACCCGCAAGGGGGAACUCUACGAGGACUGCUCCGGAUAACGGAGAGGAAGGUGGGGAUGACGUCAAGUCAGCACGGCCUUUAUGUCCAGGGCUACACACGUGUUACAAUGCACGGUACAGACUGUUGCGAACCCGCGAGGGGGAGCUAAUCGGAUAAAACCGUGCUCAGUUCGGAUUGCAGUCUGCAACUCGACUGCAUGAAGCUGGAAUCGCUAGUAAUGGCGUAUCAGAUCGACGCCGUGAAUACGUUCCCGGGCCUUGUACACACCG
rnacentral:rRNA from 1 species